rnacentral:rRNA from 1 species
GGGGGGGGGGGGGGGGGGGCGGGAGGGAGGGGAGGGGGGGGGAGGAAGGGGGCUUGCUCCUGGAUUCAGCGGAGGACGGGUGAGUAAUGCCUAGGAAUCUGCCUGGUAGUGGGGGAGAACGUCCGGAAACGGGCGCUAAUACCGCAUACGUCCGGAGGGAGAACGUGGGGGAUCUUCGGACCUCACGCUAUCAGAUGAGCCUCGGUCGGAUUAGCUAGUUGGUGGGGUAAAGGCCUACCAAGGCGACGAUCCGUAACUGGUCUGAGAGGAUGAUCAGUCACACUGGAACUGAGACACGGUCCAGACUCCUACGGGAGGCAGCAGUGGGGAAUAUUGGACAAUGGGCGAAAGCCUGAUCCAGCCAUGCCGCGUGUGUGAAGAAGGUCUUCGGAUUGUAAAGCACUUUAAGUUGGGAGGAAGGGCAGUAAGUUAAUACCUUGCUGUUUUGACGUUACCAACAGAAUAAGCACCGGCUAACUUCGUG